GUCAAGCGUCGUUGGAGUUGUUUUCCAGCUUCAAUCAGCUGGUUCACGUCCAGAUUUGGUUGUGAGGAUUUCAAGGUGCUCACGCUUGUCUCGGUGUGUUGAAGGUAGUCAUUAGUGUGCGCCACGACGGCACGAGUGCCCUUGUUUACUAGUAAUAUUCUUUUCCCGAAGGAAGAGCCUAUGGGACAAGAUUAGCUGUAGGAAAUUGUUGGUCUACUGCCUCAUCUUGGUGGGGAUUAUGCGUAUGCAGUACGGUGGAAUUAUGUACUUGAAUAUUCGAAUGACAUCGCCUGGCUCAGGGAGGAUACGUGUGCUUUCCAAACGUCUUUCAUGACUAGGACGGACGGAGCCAUCGGUAGGCGCAUUUGGAAGGAUGUGCAGAAUUAGCGCAGAAUUUACUGUUUUCAGCCGCAGGAUUCCGCACGGAAUUUCUAAUAUUCUGCCCCGGAAUUCACGGGGAGCAGACGUGGUUUCACACUAUGGGAGCAUAGUUGUAAGCUAGCCUAACUCUAGGUUGUUAUGUGUGGAUUGUCGCCAGGCUUUGUUGAGUUUUAGUCUUGGCGCUGGCUUUUUUUAAAUAGUUUCUGCUACUGUAUAAGUAAGAAGGCCAAUAAAUUUUCGAGCAAACGUCAACAACUAGCCAUCCGCUACUACUACUACUACUACUAGUACUAGCCUACAGUGCUCUUGGUAUUAUUGUUGUAGUAGUACAUUGUACUGUUAGCUGGUUGGUCAGUGCCACUACCAACUCCUUUUUUUCCAUUUAUUAUUGUGUGGGUGUCUGUGUGCUGUGGUCUGUAAGACCUUGAUUUUGCAAGGUCCUUUCAAGGCUUGCGUCAGUUCGCUGCCGGCUCCAUUCAUUGCGGCCAGGGAAGGAGUCCUGCUGGACUUUCCUUCCUUGUCCGUCUGUUCCACACCAGUUAUCUCCUGUGCCCUUGCGGUUUUCAUUCAUUGGCUUGCUGUAUUGGACUGGGUUUCCUCUUAGAAAACUAAUAUAACUACAGUAUAGUCCACAGCAGGCAAACCCACUUGCCUUCGGCUGUUAACAGUGCGCCAGCUAUUCUGAAUUCUGGAUCAGACACCAACAAGUAAAUACUAGUAGUAACUGUUUAAAACUAUAAUCUGUUUUUCUAACUGUUCCUCUGCCUCUCUCACCAUUGCUCUGCACUGUGGACAGAGCCAUGCUCUGGGAAUAAGAAGCCUAACUAACUUGUAAAGUUGUAUUAUGUGCCUUGGCCACAGCAAAAAUUUAAUCAGUACUGUAAUAUCCUAGUUGACAGUCUGCUUUACUCCUGGCUACAUUGAGCCACUUUAUUGCAUCCUUGAGUACCAGCCCUUUGCAUCUGCACAGCACUGCAUCCCACCUGCCGACUCCAGUGGUGUCCUCAUCAGCACUUCACUGUCUUCAACCAGUUCAGGCAAGCGGACAGCUGUUGGGCUACAAUCAUGUAACAGCUAUUCUGUGUCGUUAGCUCUUACAUUGAAUUUGUGACCAUAGAAAAGCUGAAGCCUGUGAAGGAUCGCUUUCUAAAUUCAGUGUUUCUCCUUGCAGUCAUGUGCCACUGUGUGCUACUGCUGUUGCUCCAUCAUGCUAUCCCUGCAUAUUAGUACACACUCAGUGGUAUGCUUUGCCCAGCAAUGGUCCGUGACUUACUCACACAGUCACGCUAAGUGGACUGGCAAUCUACUAGUAGUAUUGCUUAGUCCAGCAAUGAAUUGAUCCGUGACGACUCACUCACGCAGUCACUCUAACGCGUGUACAGUACAUAACACCACUUUACUUUUCAAGGACCCGGGCCAGAUUGAUACCCCCCCCCCCCUCCCUUCCCCUCCUGCCUUUCAGCUUUGGCUUCAGAAGUUGAGCUGUGAUGUGCACACCUGCAUUCUCUGUUAUCAUUCUUUUAUGCAAGCUACUAAAAGUGCCAUGGCUGGCUAUAAUCGCCCUCACCUCCUCCUUUUUUUUUAAUUUCGGCCAGUCGGCUACUAUCAUGAUUUUCGUCUUGGGGGUUAGACAAGGGGAAGUAGCCAUGUAGGGGCGUUAGCCCGCCUUUUGGCACCGGGAGUAGCAGCUCGCUCGACUUGACUCUACUGAGUGCAGAGGACCCACACCUUGAUCUGGUGAGCUGCGUCGUGGGGAUUUUGCAGUCAGAUGUGCGACUGCGGGGCUCGAACCCGCGACCUCUCGGGUCGCAGGCGAGUGCAGUACCUCCUCCUUGAUUGGCCUUGACUGAGUGCUACAUGCACAUGUAGCUAUGGCCCAGUACGUGUAUGGGUGCCACAUAAUGUCCUAGCCAUGGGCCCACUAGUGCACUGAUGGGAGGGUAGGAGGGGGCAGCACCCUUCCGGUAGAAAAAAGGUGCGUAUUGGGAGGAGGGCAGUGCAACGCACGUCAUAGUAAGCAAUAUUCUGUAUCACCGUUUUACGCAAUGUAUUAGUCUGUAUAAGACAUGUUACGAUGUAUGUUAGACAUUAAACUGUUGUUACCACUUGCCAAAGCACGGCAUCAGCAAAGCGACAUUUCUGUUGCAAUUCACUCUUUAUACAUUGUACAUGUACCCAAAAGA